UUAAAUACAAUGUCAGAGUGGCAGACUGGAAAAUCUCUGCAGGCAAAUGUGAUGUCACUGAAGAAUCACACACUUACCUGUAAAGAUUCUGCAGUCUGACAGCUUCCAGCAUCAAACUGUU
rnacentral:pre_miRNA from 13 species